rnacentral:misc_RNA from 1 species
UGGAUGCUUACCCACACAGAGCACCAUGGAUACAUGAGACCACCGCAACUGCCACCUGCGCCUCCGUCCACUGCGGAUCCCCACCACUAUCUCCACCACCAGCCAAGACCACCCGUCCCUCCGCAAGCCACAUGGUACUCCAACCAAUUCUAGUACCACCUAUCACCACCAUCUUCGCACUCUCCAUCUCGUCCACCUCCUCGGCAGUGGGUGGCUUCUCCGAACUCCAACCUUAUCCCUCCUCUUCCUAUCCUCCCC